rnacentral:rRNA from 1 species
UACGAAGGGUGCAAGCGUUACUCGGAAUUACUGGGCGUAAAGCGUGCGUAGGUGGUUUGUUAAGUCUGAUGUGAAAGCCCUGGGCUCAACCUGGGAAUUGCAUUGGAUACUGGCAGGCUAGAGUGCGGUAGAGGGUAGUGGAAUUCCCGGUGUAGCAGUGAAAUGCGUAGAGAUCCGGAAGAACACCGGUGGCGAAGGCGGUUAGCUGGGCAGUUGCUGACACUGAGGCGCGACAGCGUGGGGAGCAAACAGG